CUAACCACUUAUGGUUAUUUGCAUUUCUAUUUUAAUUAAUUAAAAUUAAGUAAAAUGCAAAAUUCAGUUCUUCAGUUGCUCUAGCCACAUUUCAAGUGUUACAGUAGUCACAUAUGGCUAGUAGCUGGGACAAUGCAGAUUAUAGAACAGUUCCAUCAUCAAAGAAACUUCUAUUGAACAGUGCUAUUAUAUAAUGUCCUUGAGGUCAGGAGUUCAAGACCAGCCUGGCCGACAUGGUGAAACCCCGUCUCUAGUAAAAAUACAAAAAAUUAGCUAGGCGUGGUGGUGCAUGCCUGUAACCCCAGCUACUCAGGAGGCUGAGUUGGGAGAAUCACUGGAACCCAGGAGGCAGAAGUUGUAGUGAGCCAAGAUUGUGCCACUGCACUCUAGCCUGGGUGACAGAGCAAGACUCCAUCUCAAAAAAAAAGAAAAAAGAAAAAGAAAAAGUCAGAAACAUCUUGAGGCAGGCAUAGUGCUGUCAUCUGUCCAAUAUUGAAGAUGAUUUAAGAAUAAGAAAGAAGAGAACAAAGAAGAGACAAAGAAGUUGCCUUAGGUGUACCCACCCAGAAAAGGACAAA
rnacentral:lncRNA from 1 species